ensembl:lncRNA
CAGGUCCAACAACUACCAUAGCAGUUCCAACAACUACCACUUCAAGUCCAACAACAACCACAGCAAGUCCCAUAACAACAACAGCAGCUCCCACAACUACAUCGUCUGGUCCAACAAGUACCACGGAGAGUCCAACAACCACAACCGCUGCUUCAACAACCACAACUGCAGGUCCAACAACUACCACAGCAGUUCCAACAACUACAACCUUAGGUCCAACAACUACCACAGCAGGUCCUACAACAACAACAGCUGCUCAACCCACCACAACUGCAGGUCCAACAACUACCACAGCAGUUCCAACAACUACAACUUCAAGUCCAACAAUUACCACAGCAGGUCCUACAACAACAACAGCAGCUCAACCAACCACAACUGCAGGUCCAACAACUACCACAGCAGUUCCAACAACUACAACUUUAAGUCAAACAACUACCAGAGCAGGUCCCACAACAACAACAGCAACUCCCACUACUACAUCGUCUGGUCCAACAAGUACCACAGAGAUUCCAACAACCACAACAACUGCUCCCACAACCACAACGGCAGGUCCAAAAACUACCAUAGCAGUUCCAACAACUACAACUUCAAGUCCAACAACUUCCACAGCAGAUCCCACAACGACAACAGCUCUUCAAACCACCACAACUGCAGGUCCAACAACUAAAACAGCAGUUCCAACAACUACAACUUCAAGUCCAACAACUACCACAGCAGUUCCCACAACAACAACAGCAACUCCCACAACUACAUCGGCUGGUCCAACAAGAACCACAGAGAUCCCAACAACUGCUCCCACAACCACAACUGCAGGUCCAACAACUACCACAGCAGUUCCAACAACUACAACUUCAAGUGCAGCAACUAUCACAGCAGCUCCCACAACGACAACAGCUCUUCAACCCACCACAACUGCAGGUCCAACAACUACCACAACAGUUCCAACAACUACAACUUCAAGUCCAACAACUACCACAGCAGGUCCCACCACAACAACAGCAACUCCCACAACUACAUCGUCUGGUCCAACAAGUACCACAGAGAUUCCAAGAACCACAACAACUGCUCCCACAACCACAACUGCAGGUCCAACAACUACCACAGCAGUUCCAACAACUACAACUUCAAGUCCAACAACUACCACAGCAGCUCCCACAACGACAACGGCUCUUCAGACCACAACAACUGCAGGUCCAACAACUACCACAGACGGUCCUACAACAACAACAACAACAGCAGCAGCUCAACCCACCACAACUGCAGGUCCAACAACUACCACAGCAGUUCCAACAACUACAACUUCAAGUCCAACAACUACCACAGCAGGUCCCACAACAACAACAGCAACUCCCACAAUUACAUCGUCUGGUCCAACAAGUACCACAGAGAUUCCAACAACCACAACAACUGCUCCCACAACCACAACUGCAGGUCCAACAACUACAACUUCAAGUCCAACAACUACCACAGCAGGUCCCACAACAACAACAGCAACUCCAUUAACUACCACAGCAGGUCCAUCAUCUACCACAGCAACUCCCACAACCACAUCGUCUAGUCCAACAACUACCACAGACAGUCCUACAACAACAACAGCAGCAGCUCAACCCACCACAACUACAGGUCCAACAACUACCACAGCAGUUCCAACAACUACAACUUCAAGUCCAACAACUACCACAGCAGGUCCCACAACGACAACAGCUCCUGAAACAACCACAACUGAAGGUCCAACAACUACCACAGCAGGACCCAAAACAACAACAGCAACUCCCACAACUACAUCUCCUGGUCCAACAAGUACCACAGAGAGUACAACAACCACAACAGCAGCUCAACCCACCACAACUGCAAGUCCAACAACUACCACAGCAGUUCAAACGACUACGACUUCAGGUCCAUUAACUACCACAGCAGGUCUAUCAUCUACCACAUCAAACCCUGCAACAAAAAGAUCAGUGCCAACAGCUACAACGUCAGGACCAACAACUACUACAUCAGGUCCAAAAAGUACAACAACAGCUGCUCCAACAACCACAUCUUCAGGUUCAACAACUACCACAGUAGGUCCCACAACGACAACAGCUCUUCAAACCACCACAACUGCAGGUCCAACAACUACCACAGAGGGUCCUACAACAACAACAGCUGCUCAACCCACCACAACUGAAGGUCCAACAACUUCUACAGCAGGUCUCACAACAACAACAGCAACUUCCACGUCUACAUCGUCUGGUUCAACAAGUACCACAGAAAUUCCAACAACCACAACAACUGCUCCCACAACCACAACUGCAGGUCGAACAACUACCACAGAGAUUCCAACAACCACAACAAUUGCUCCCACAACCACAACUGCAGGUCCAACAACUACCACAGCAGUUCCAACAACUACAACUUCAAGUCCAACAAUUACCACAGCAGGUCCCACAACGACAACAGCUCCUGAAACAACCACAACUGAAGGUCCAACAACUACCACAACAGGGCCCAAACCAACAACAGCAACUCCCACAACUACAUCGUCUGGUCCAACAAGUACCACAGAGAAUACAACAACCACAACACCAGCUCAACCCACCACAACUGCAAGUCCAACAACUACCACAGCAGUUCCAACGACUACAACUUCAAGUCCAACAACUACCACAACAGGUCCCACAACAACAACAGCAACUCCAUUAACUACCACAGCAGGUCGUUCAUCAACCACAGCAACUCCCACAACUACAUCGUCUAGUCCAACAAGUAGCACGGAGAGUCCAACAACCACAACAGCUGCUCUAACAACCACAACUGCUGGUCCAACAACAACCACAGCAGGUCCCACAAAGACAACAACUCUUCAAAUCACCACAACUACAGGUCCAACAACUACCACAGCAGUUCCAACAACUACAACUUCAAGUCCAACAACUACCAUAGCAGGUCCCACAACGAGAGCAACUUCCACAACUAAAUCGUCUGGUCCAACAAUUACCACGGAGAGUCCAACAACCACAACAGUGCAAACAACAACAACGUCAGGACCAACAACUACUACAGCAGGUCCAAAAAGUGCAACAACAGCUGCUCCAACAACCAUAACUGUAGGUCCAACAACUACAACAGCUGCUCAACCCACCACAACAGCAACUCCAACAACUACCUCGUCUGGUCCAACAAGUACCACAGAAAGUCCAACAACUACCACAGCUGGUCCCACAACAACAACAGCAACUCCCCCAAGUACCACAGAGAUUCCAACAACCACUCCCACAACCACAUCUGCAGGUCCAACAACUACCACAGCAGUUCCAACAACUACAACCUCAAGUCCAACAACUACCACAGCUGGUCCUACAACGAACACAGCUCCUGAAACAACCACAACUGAUGGUCCAACAACUAUCACAGCCGGUCCCACAACAACAACAGCAACUCCCACAACUACAUCGUCUGGUCCAACAAGUACCACGGAGAGCUCAACAACCACAACAGCUGCUCCAACAACUAUAACCUCAAGUCCAACAACUACCACAGCUGGUCCUACAACGAACACAGCUCCUGAAACAACCACAACUGAUGGUCCAACAACUCCCAGCAACUCCCAGAACUACAUCGUCUGGUCCAACAAGUACCACAGAGAUUCCAACAACCAGAACAACUGCUCCCACAACCACAACUGCAGGUCCAACAACUACCACAGCUGUUCAAAUAACUACAACUUCAAGUCCAACAACUACCACAGCAGGUCCCACAACAACAAAAGCAACUCCCACAACUACAUCGUCUGGUCCAACAAGUACCACAGAGAUUCCAACAACCACAACAACUGCUCCCACAACCACAACUGCAGGUCCAACAACUACCACAGCUGUUCAAAUAACUACAACUUCAAGUCCAACAACUACCACAGCUGGUCCCAGAACGACAACAGCUCCUGAAACAAACACAACUGAAGGUCCAACAACUACCACAGCAGGUCCCACAACAACAAAAGCAACCCCCAAAACUACAUCGUCUGGUCCAACAAGUACCACGGAGGGUCCAACGACCUCAACAGCUGCUCCAACAACUACAACAGCUGCUCAAUCCACCAAAACUGCAGGUCCAAUAACUACCACAGCAGUUCCAACAACUACAACUUCAAGUCCAACAUCUCCCACAGCAAGUCCCAGAACAACAACAGCAACUCCUACAACUACAUCGUCUGGUCCAACAAGUACCACGGAAAGUCCAACAACCGCAACAGCUGCUCCAACAACCACAACUGCAGGUCCAACAACUACCACAGCAGUUCCAACAACUACAACUUCAGGUCCAACAACUACUACAUCAGUUUCAACAACUAUUACAGCAGAUCCCGCAACAACAACUUUUGCUCCAGCCACCACAACUGUAGGUCCAACAACUACCAAAGCAGUUCUCUCAAUAAUAACAGCAGGUCAAACAACUACAACGGUAGGUCGUGCAACAACAACAGCUGCUCAAAACACCACAACUGCAGGUCCAACAACUGCGACAGAAACUUAUACAACAGCAGUUCCAACAACUACAACAUCAGGUCCCACAACUACAACAGCUGCUCAAACCACGACAACCGCAUUUCAAAAAACAACAUCAAGACGAACAACGUCCACUGCAAGUCCCACAACGACAACUGCUAAUCAAACCACAACAACAACAGCAGGUUCAAAAACCCCAACUGCUGUUCCUACAACCACAGCUACUCCAACCACCUCAAUUGGAAGACCUACAACUUCAACUGUAGGCCCAACAACAACAAUCGCAGGUACCACAAUUACCAUUGCGGGCCCCACAACAACAACAACAACAGUUGGUCUCACAACUACAACAGCAACUAAAGCAACUAAAGAAGUCACAGGCACUCCGACUAGUUCCCCGGAAUCCACAACAGUAUCAACUAACCCUCCAGAAGAAGAUGAAGGCUACCUUCUACUGCAGUUUCGAAUAAUGCGUAAAUGGAUCCCAGCUUACAUCAAUCGUCAGUCUAAAGAAUACAAAGCGAUCAGUUUUAAUAUAACAACAGAGUGCAAUAGAGGAUACCGCCAUUCCUAUCCGAACAUUUUCCUUAGAUCGCAUCUAAGACAUCUGUGGGAAGGCUCUGUGGGGACAGAUCUUGAUCUGAUCUUUGUGAAUCAAUCAGUUGUGCCAAACAUUACUAGUGUAGAAGAAUCUCUGAAAACUGCACUAGAUGCAUCGAUUAUAUUCCUGAAUAUAAUUCCAAGCAGUAUCAAAGCAGCCAUGCCAAAUAUGACCGAAGAUACCUCAUCCACAACUGCUGCUGCAACAUCAACAACAGCAACAACAACAAGACCACACAGACCCACCACUGUAGGGUCUUCAACAACAUCAAGAUUAACAACGCCAAAUAAUGCCGCAGCUACAGCCACAAGCACAUCUGCAACCAGCAACCGAGCAGCUAGCAAAAAUAUUGAUCUAUUCGCUAGACUGUUCUUCACCUCACUGCUUCACGCCCUGUUUAACAAUGUAUAAACAAUCAUGGUUUCAUAAUCUUUCAGGGUUUCAAGUUUUCAUAGAGGACUUGUCUAUUAAUGUAAAAAAAAAUAUAUAUGUAAUAUUUACUAAUUAGUAUUUUAUUAAUGAAUUACUUAUGAUUUGUAUGUGAAUAUUUACUAAUAUAUUAUCUGUUUAAAAUCAAACAAUGUAUGUCAAUCAUUUUAAAUAAAGGAAAAAAUCUGGAAACAUGUACAACUUACAUAUGGAACAUAUAUGUACGUGGGUAGCAAUUACAAUAGUGUUAUUACCUUUCACGAUUUCAUUUCUCUCUUAAAAC